CCUACGGGAGGCUGCAGUGGGGGAUAUUGCACAAUGGGGGAAACCCUGAUGCAGCGACGCCGCGUGUAGGAAGACGGUCCUCUGGAUUGUAAACUACUGUCCCCAGGGACGAAGAUGACGGUACCUGGGGAGGAAGCUCCGGCUAACUACGUGCCAGCAGCCGCUGUAAUACGUAGGGAGGGACCGUUGUCCGGAAUUACAUGGUGAAAAGGGAGCGUAGGCGGGGAUGGAAGUUGGGUGGUAAAUCUACCGGCUCAACUGGUAGUCGCAGUAAAAACUGCAGCUCUUGAGUGAAGUAGAGGCAGGCGGAAUUCCUAGUGUAGCGGUGAAAGGCGUAGAUAUUAGGAGGAACACCAGGGGCGAAGGCGGCCUGCUGGGCUUUUACGGACGCUGAGGCUCGAAAGUGUGGGGAGCAAACAGGAUUAGAUACCCUAGUAGUC
rnacentral:rRNA from 1 species